rnacentral:sRNA from 1 species
CUGGAGACAAGAGGCCCAAGAUCAAGGUGGAGAAAAAUGCUAUGGACUUCUAUUAUGGAGCCCCUGUUUCUCGAAACGACAUUGUGCUGCAAGCACGUGUCGCCAGUCUGCGGAGAUGCUCAAGUGGAAGUGCACUUGUGUCUCAGACCCACUACCCAAUCUGAACUCAGAGAAACAGCUCACACUUGCAAUCUCACUCUCCACCCAAACUGCACAACUCCAUAAGGCCAACUCCAGGUGCAAAAUGAAUUUGUCCAGAAAUAUCAGCUAGCAUAAUGCUGACCUACAAUAUCUCUGUUGGAUACAGAGAGUGAAGAAACUUUUCAAUUGACAAGUCUUUUGACCAAAAGUAAUAAUAUUGAAGAUGCUGAACUCGACACUCUGCCCACGGUGUUUCAAUUGUACUUGUGUUUGACUUAGUUGAUGAGCUCCUGAUGCUCUUUCCUGAAUUGUGUAAAAAAGAUGAACCUCUGGGGAAUUCCUUGGAGAAGUGGUAAGUGUGGGGAGCUGUAGCUGUGACAAACGGAAGAUUGUUAGCAAAUUGUAGUUCCUGCCGGUAGAGUAUCUCUUGACUCUUGGUAUUUCAGAGCUGUACUAUCAAAUCAUCAAAUCAUGGUGAGUCUAUCCCUCUUCUCUUAAACUUGGGCAGAUGUUUCUGAUUCACUUGCCUGUAAUAAUACAAGAAAGUACUAUGGAAAUACAGCUUUGAUGACAGAUCAUAAAAAAAUACUAUGUUGUGGAAUCUUGGGAUGUUCACUUCAGAUACAACUGUAAUGAUAUCUUAAAAGGCAAGUGAUACAUGAAAGAAAGUGUGUCUUACAGUUUCCAGGCAUCUGUCUCCAGCUAAUGCUGUAUGAAAUAACACAGGCUGAUUUCACUAAG